GACGAACGCUGGCGGCGUGCUUAACACAUGCGAGUCGAACGGAAAGGCCCUGCUUUUGUGGGGUGCUCGAGUGGCGAACGGGUGAGUAACACGUGAGUAACCUGCCCUUGACUUUGGGAUAACUUCAGGAAACUGGGGCUAAUACCGGAUAGGAGCUCCUGCUGCAUGGUGGGGGUUGGAAAGUUUCGGCGGUUGGGGAUGGACUCGCGGCUUAUCAGCUUGUUGGUGGGGUAGUGGCUUACCAAGGCUUUGACGGGUAGCCGGCCUGAGAGGGUGACCGGCCACAUUGGGACUGAGAUACGGCCCAGACUCCUGCGGGAGGCAGCAGUGGGGAAUAUUGCACAAUGGGCGGAAGCCUGAUGCAGCAACGCCGCGUGCGGGAUGACGGCCUUCGGGUUGUAAACCGCUUUCGCCUGUGACGAAGCGUGAGUGACGGUAAUGGGUAAAGAAGCACCGGCUAACUACGUG
rnacentral:rRNA from 1 species